rnacentral:misc_RNA from 1 species
AUCAAAUUGGACCGGCGCGACGCGCACCUUGAUCCCG